rnacentral:rRNA from 1 species
AUUGAACGCUGGCGGCAUGCUUUACACAUGCAAGUCGAACGGCAGCGCGGGCUUCGGCCUGGCGGCGAGUGGCGAACGGGUGAGUAAUGCAUCGGAACGUGCCCAGUAGUGGGGGAUAGCCCGGCGAAAGCCGGAUUAAUACCGCAUACGACCUGAGGGCGAAAGCGGGGGACCGAAAGGCCUCGCGCUAUUGGGGCGGCCGAUGUCGGAUUAGCUAGUUGGUGGGGUAAAGGCUUACCAAGGCGACGAUCCGUAGCUGGUCUGAGAGGACGACCAGCCACACUGGGACUGAGACACGGCCCAGACUCCUACGGGAGGCAGCAGUGGGGAAUUUUGGACAAUGGGGGCAACCCUGAUCCAGCCAUGCCGCGUGCGGGAAGAAGGCCUUCGGGUUGUAAACCGCUUUUGUUCGGGAAGAAAUCCUCUGGGCUAAUACCCCGGGGGGAUGACGGUACCGGAAGAAUAAGCACCGGCUAACUACGUG